AAUAUUGGACAAUGAGCGAAAGCCUGAUCCAGCCAUGCCGCGUGUGUGAAGAAGGUCUUCGGAUUGUAAAGCACUUUAAGUUGGGAGGAAGGGAUGUAAGUUAAUACCCUGCUAUUUUGACGUUACCAACAGUAUAAGCACCGGCUAACUUCGUGCCAGCAGCCGCGGUAAUACGAAGGGUGCAAGCGUUAAUCGGAAUUACUGGGCGUAAAGCGCGCGUAGGUGGUUCGUUAAGUUGGAAGUGAAAGCCCCGGGCUCAACCUGGGAACUGCUUUCAAAACUGACAAGCUAGAGUACGGUAGAGGGUAGUGGAAUUUCCUGUGUAGCGGUGAAAUGCGUAGAUAUAGGAAGGAACACCAGUGGCGAAGGCGACUACCUGGACUGAUACUGACACUGAGGUGCGAAAGCGUGGGGAGCAAACAGG
rnacentral:rRNA from 1 species